rnacentral:rRNA from 1 species
AUUGAACGCUGGCGGCAGGCCUAACACAUGCAAGUCGAGCGAGCGGCGGACGGGUGAGUAAUGUAUGGGGACUGCCCGAUAGAGGGGGAUAACUACUGGAAACGGUGGCUAAUACCGCAUACUAUCGGAUAACCCAUAUGGGUUUAGCUAGUAGUGGGGGUAAAGACUCACCUAGGCGACGAUCUCGAGCUGGUCUGAGAGGAUGAUGAGCCAAACUGGGACUGAGACACGGCCGAGACUCCUACGGAGGCAGCAGUGGGGAGGAUGGCACAAUGAGAGGAAGCCUGAUGCAUACGUGCCGCGUGUAUGAGUAAGGCCUUAGGGUUGUAAAGUACUUUUAGCGGGGAGGCGUUACCCGCAGAAGAAGCACCGGCUAACUCCGUGCCAGCCGCCGCGGUAAUUC